AUGGAGAGUUUGAUCCUGGCUCAGGACGAACGCUGGCGGCGUGCUUUAUACAUGCAAGUCGAACGAUGAAGUUCCUUCGGGAAUGGAUUAGUGGCGAACGGGUGAGGAACACGUGAGAAACCUGCCUUUCAUUCUGGGAUAACACCGGGAAACCGGUGCUAAUACCGGAUACUCCGUCUUGGCGGCAUCGCCGAGCCGGGAAAAAAUUUUGAUGAAAGAUGGUCUCGCGGCCUAUCAGCUAGUUGGUGAGGUAAUGGCUCACCAAGGCGACGACGGGUAGCCGGCCUGAGAGGGCGACCGGCCACACUGGGACUGAGACACGGCCCAGACUCCUACGGGAGGCAGCAGUGGGGAAUAUUGGGCAAUGGGCGCAAGCCUGACCCAGCGACGCCGCGUGAGGGAUGAAGGCCUUCGGGUUGUAAACCUCUUUCAGUAGGGAAGAAGCGAAAGUGACGGUACCUAAAGAAGAAGCACCGGCUAACUAUGUGCCAGCAGCCGCGGUAAUACAUAGGGUGCAAGCGUUGUCCGGAAUUAUUGGGCGUA
rnacentral:rRNA from 1 species